UCAAGAACGAAAGUUAGAGGUUCGAAGGCGAUCAGAUACCGCCCUAGUUCUAACCAUAAACGAUGCCAGCCAGCGAUCCGGCUGUGUUCCUCAAAUGACACGCCGGGCAGCUUCCGGGAAACCAAAGCUUUUGGGUUCCGGGGGAAGUAUGGUUGCAAAGCUGAAACUUAAAGGAAUUGACGGAAGGGCACCACCAGGAAUGGAGCCUGCGGCUUAAUUUGACUCAACACGGGAAAACUUACCCGGCCCGGACACAGGAAGGAUUGACAGAUUAAGAGCUCUUUCUUGAUUCUGUGGGUGGUGGUGCAUGGCCGUUCUUAGUUGGUGGAGCGAUUUGUCUGGUUAAUUCCGAUAACGAACGAGACUCUAGCCUACUAAAUAGACGUUCCGAUCAUCUCCGUCGGACGUUCUUCUUAGAGGGACAAGCGGCGUUUAGCCGCACGAGACAGAGCAAUAACAGGUCUGUGAUGCCCUUAGAUGUCCGGGGCCGCACGCGCGCUACAUUGAAGGAAUCAGCGUGUGCUUUCCCUGUCCGACAGGACUGGGUAACCCGUUGAACCUCCUUCGUGCUGGGGAUAGGGGCUUGUAAUUGUUCCCCUUGAACGAGGAAUUCCCAGUAAGCACGAGUCAUAAGCUCGUGUUGAUUACGUCCCUGCCCUUUGUACACACCGCCCGUCGCUACUACCGAUUGAAUGAUUUAGUGAGGUCUUCGGACUGGCGCUCGGAGCGGCCCUCGGGUCGCGCCGGCGUGCCGGAAAGAUGACCAAACUUGAUCAUUUAGAGGAAGUAAAAGUCGWACAAGGUUCC
rnacentral:rRNA from 1 species